AACAUAGCGGGCGAUGGAGUUCGCCGAAACCGCCUGUCCGCAAGACGGCUGAUAACUCCUGCGAAGAA
rnacentral:ncRNA from 2 species